CGCUCUGGUGGCCUAGUUGUUAGAGUGUCUGCCUAGGAUACGGGAGGUCGCGGGUUCCAACCCCGUGCGAGUCA